rnacentral:tRNA from 1 species
GGCCCUUUGGCCCAAUGGUAAGGCGUCUGACUACGAACAAGUCUGCAUGCUUGACAAGUUAUCAGGAGAUUCUGGGUUCGAGCCCCAGGAGGGUCA